rnacentral:lncRNA from 1 species
AUUGUGUAGCAUACUCGAUAUUUCAAAAAUAUCAUCACGGAAAGAAUAUUAAGAGCUUUAGGACAAGAAGAAAUAGUGAGUGAGACAUCAAGGCAGAAGCGUCACAGUAACACCUGGAUCUCACAUGGAAUUCUAAUAUCAAUCCCACGCAUUCUGUGCUCUAUUCACAUCCUAUCACAUGCUCAUUCCCUAACACAGUCCACCAGUGAUUUUCUAGUCCCUGCAGUCUCUGAGGAGCAAGGGUCUGGAUCAGCCUUUCCCACUCGGUUAUGAGGUUCCAAGACACAUCCCUGCACCAAAGCUGGUGUAAGAGGCGCUUGACCACACAGUCUCUGAAGCACCCUUUGCCCUUUCCAUUCAUGUUGCUCCUUCAGGUAUCACUUGUCACGACCCCUGACAGUGUGCACAAAACAGGUAGCACUCUGGACUCAAAGGAAGAGAGUCGACAUGGUUCCUCCUCAUUCAGAAAGCUUGGAUGAUCGCCCGCUACUACAAGCAGAACUGACAAGUGAGGCAUCUCCUGGCUGGGCCGUCAGACCUCACGACUGCCCCGUGCAGACCUGGCGACUACCCCGUGCAGACCUCGAGACUGCCCGAUUCACACCUCGCGACUGCCCCAUUCAGACCUCGCGACUGCCCCGUGCAGACCUCGAGACUGCCCUGUGAAGACGUCGUGACUGUCCCAUUCAGACCUCGCAACUGCCCCGUGCAG